AUAAACCCAAAAAUUCCGCCCAUCGUCGAACCAACGUUGUCUGCACCUACAACAUCUACGAGUAAAGCUAAACCGACAGUCCAUACUACAGCAGCCGAUAAACCUUGAAGUACACGAGCCACGAUCAGCAUGGGAACGCUGUUACCAAACGUCAGCAGGGCAGUUGCAGAAGUGAGAAAUAUAAGACCAAUAAGCAUAGGAACUUUUCUAGUUAAAAACUUAUCCGCCAAAAACCCAAUCGGUGAACUGGCGGCAAUGUUUGCAACAGCAUAAACAGCAAGUAGUGUAGAAAUUACGCUCUGCACCCGAUCAGGAGAAAUACCCACUCGGUCCACAAGGGAAAAUGGGAGAAUAGGAGUAAUGAUUCCAUAGAGGAAAAGGUCCGUAAACAAAGCAAUGGCUAUUGUUCCAAUGAUAAACGGAAGACUUCUGCGCUGUUUCACCCACAGCUUCAAACCCAUCGUUUCCAAUU